rnacentral:rRNA from 1 species
UGGGGAAUCUUCCGCAAUGGGCGAAAGCCUGACGGAGCAAUGCCGCGUGGAGGUAGAAGGCCCACGGGUCGUAAACUCCUUUUCUCGGAGAAGAAGCAGUGACGGUAUCCGAAGAAUAAGCAUCGGCUAACUCUGUGCCAGCAGCCGCGGUAAGACAGGGGAUGCAAGCGUUAUCCGGAAUGAUUGGGCGUAAAGCGUCUGUAGGUGGCUCCUUAAGUCCGCUGUCAAAUCCCAGGGCUCAACCCUGGACAGGCGGUGGAAACUACUAAGCUGGAGUACGGUAGGGGCAGGGGGAAUUCCCGGUGGAGCGGUGAAAUGCGUAGAGAUCGGAAAGAACACCAAAGGCGAAGGCACCCUGCUGGGCCGACACUGACACUGAGAGACGAAAGCUAGGGGAGCGAAUGGG